AAUUUUAUAAUUACUCAUUUCAGAAUCUCUUACCUGCCUGGAAUGUAAAAACAUAGUUCAACCACAUGACUGUUCUACUGUUACAAAGUGUGGCCCACAUGAGAAAUGCUACACUGAAAAGCAGAUAACAAAUGAUGGUCACGUUUACUACAACGUAGGAUGUGAAGAUCAGACUAUAUGCUUAAGGAGCGCUCCGUUUGGAAAAAGAGAUACCACAACAAUAUGCUCAAAUUGUUGUGAUUCUGAUUUAUGUAAUAUUAACAACCAUUGUGUA